CCCAGCCUUCCUCUCGAUCUCAUCUGGACAUCCAGCCCCGCCCCGCCCCUCACAGCCGUCCGCCGCCGCCUCCUACCCCGCCGCCGCGCCUACCCCUACACCAAGUGCCAACACACUCGCACCCAUCCACUACCGGGGACCCGCGGCCUUCUACCGCCGGUGGCACUCGACGUCGCGGCCAUUGGCGGCUCCCCGACCUUGCUACCAUGGCGCCUCCGGGACUCCUCCCCGCUGCUUCCACCUUGACAUUGGUUUCCCCAACACCGCUGGCUUCGCCACCAGCCACUCCUUCUAGGCACACUCUAUCUGCCGUCGGACCCAUCCGCCUGGUUCCAAUGGUGAACAUCGCCACCACCCUAUUGUGAGGCGAGGUGAUGUUCUUCGAACUGCCGGCUUGAUUCUGCCUAGGUAAUUUCUUCUUUCUACUGUACCACUUCAUAGAAAAAUUUGACUGCCUAAAAAUUCCCCAAUUUGGUACACUUUUUUUUUUAUCAGAGUGAGCUUUUCAACGGAAAUUAUACUUUGAUCCUAUCCAAUCUUACUGUGACAGUAAUAUAUUCCCCUUUCCUUUAUAUGAAAGGAAAAUUGCGGCUCUUUAUCAUAUUGUCAUUAUAUUGUAACCGUGUGCAAGUGUGUUCAGUUCAACUAGAUGCAACUCAUUGACAUAUGAGAUUCCAUUGAGCCUGAUAAUCUUGAAUUUUGCUUCACAAUUUAAAAUGUAGUAUUAGACCUAGAGUUUUUAUGUAUUACAGAACCUGUCCUAUAAAUAUGCCAGUUACAAAUAAAGGUGAUAUUGAUGUGGAAACACAACACAUAUGUAGUAGAUGAAUUGUACGAAGUAAAUCGCCUUGGAAUGAUGGUUGCUGAAUGUUACAAUUAUAGUCAUCUACCUGGACGACCUUCAAGCACCAAUAACUUAAUCCUUUUAGGUUUUGCUCUUCUUUCUUCGGUACAAACAUAAUAUUGUUUGGUGCUUCCCAAUACUUGGAUGUGAAAAAUAAAGAAGUUUUACAUUUUAAGAACUAAUAGAUUUUUAACAAGAAAAUAUGGUCCAAGUGGGACUACUACUUCUAAAUAUUUUGUCUUUCACAGAAGGGGAUAUCAUACUUCUCCUAAUCAGGAUUGUUGUGUAACGGAAUGAUGGUAGGAUGCUGAAUAAUAAUGGAAGAAAAAGGAGUACAGGCUUUACCUAAUGUACCUACAGCAACAAUGGGUUGCCCCACCAAACAUCACUAGAGGACUAGGAAGGAAAACGGUGAUUUCUCAAUCAGGUUCUAUUGGCCGUUCUAGCAUUAGCAUCAUGAAGAUUCUGGAACAGUGCACGACAUGCCCAAUCCCAAGGUCUUCCCUUAGCUGGUGAAGCACAUGAGCCGGUGUCAAGCAAUAUCCCCUGUAUACUUUGUCCUUGUGUUCUUUCCAGAUGCAAAGCAUCCAGGAUGUGAUCAAUCAUAUGCUGGAGAAUGGCAUUGAGACCUUACUUCACUGGAUAAUGGCAUUUAUAUGCGAUUCCAGUCCUUUCACAGUGCAGGUGAACUGGAAAUUCUAUCAAAGACAACUGUCCUUUCUUUAGUGUACAUGCAUGAUAUUACAUGAUUAAACAUACCAUUUUUAACUUCAUUUAGUUGUCUAUAUUAUUCUCUAUGUGCUAUUACCAACAAAAAUAGUGUUACCUCCGUACCAGGCCUUCCAAAUAUCUUAUAUUUUGGUACGGAGGUAGUACUUUUAGCCUGCAAAGCGACUUCUAUGCCCAUUGUGGCAAUAAUGUGUUUGCACCACUGAAGAGAUAACUUAUUUUUUUCAUUGUAAGAAACACAUCAUGUUUCUUCCCCAUCAUUUAAGUGUGUGCCAUGUUAUCUUUGUUCAUGUUGCUGGCUGUACAUUUUCAGUAUUCUCAGGAUAUAUCUGAUUAUGAUGAUGUUCCGUACUGCUCUGGAGCCGACAACUUUUUGGACUGCUCGAUGUUUAUAACCAAUGAGACUACUUUUUUGGUUGUUGGCUGGAGCUAUCACUAUGACUGAAAUUUUCUUUUCACCCAAGUAAAUUUAUAUGGUCAUCAAAAACCAACGACAGGUCAACACUUGUCAGCAGUUUGCAAUUUGUAUUACAGUAUGCCUAAGCCAAUGUUCAGACAAUGUUGUUUUAGUUAGGAAAUGUAGAAAACAUGGUCAUGAUUUAUGUAGAUUGGACAGUCCCUUCAAACUGCAGUCUUUGAUCUAGAGUGGACAAUCUAACUAUAUGUUUCCUUUUAGAAAAUGACUAUAUGUUCCAUGAAUUCACUGCUUAUUUUGGCCAGAUCAGAUUAAACUAGGUCUUGAUUUCAAGGUUCAGUUAAGGCAGUUGGUGCAGGUUUGUUUGCUGUAAUACUAACUGUGCUAUUUAGACAGAGACAUUUGCUCUUUCUCAUUCCUCGACAUUUUCCUUUGCUACCAAGAUUUUUCAUUCUAGGUUGUGGAAAACGCAUGUAGCGUUCCUUCUACAAGUCGUCAUGAGCUGGGACAUAGAAGAAGAGAGCCGACGAGAAGUCGCAAAGCGGUUCGCUCCGGUGUUGCUGCCAAUGGCGCUGCACAAAGUGCAGAUUGCAGGCUAGAUGCGUACAAGUCCGUCCCUACUUCCACGACGUGGAAGCAAAGGAAAUUUAGUCAAUUAGAUAGUAUAUUUGGUUAUGAAAGUUAUCUUUUGUGUAUGCAGUUUUGCCAUCAUUUUGUAAAAGCUUUGAGUUUUUUAUAAUGUAAUUGUCUUACUAAUCACACUUUUAAUUGAUUUGUGCCAAGGCUAAUAGUCAAGUUAU